GGUACAGAGAGUAGCUUGCUACUUUGCUGACUGAGCGGCGGACGGGUGAGUAAUGCUUGGGAACAUGCCUUGAGGUGGGGGACAACAGUUGGAAACGACUGCUAAUACCGCAUAAUGUCUACGGACCAAAGGGGGCUUCGGCUCUCGCCUUUAAUUGGCCCAAGUGGGAUUAGCUAGUUGGUGAGGUAAUGGCUCACCAAGGGCGACGAUCCCUAGCUGGUUUGAGAGGAUGAUCAGCCACACUGGGACUGAGACACGGCCCAGACUCCUACGGGAGGCAGCAGUGGGGAAUAUUGCACAAUGGGCGCAAGCCUGAUGCAGCCAUGCCGCGUGUGUGAAGAAGGCCUUCGGGUUGUAAAGCACUUUCAGUCAGGAGGAAAGGUUAAUAGUUAAUACCUGCUAGCUGUGACGUUACUGACAGAAGAAGCACCGGCUAACUCCGUGCCAGCAGCCGCGGUAAUACGGAGGGUGCGAGCGUUAAUCGGAAUUACUGGGCGUAAAGCGUACGCAGGCGGUUUGUUAAGCGAGAUGUGAAAGCCCCGGGCUCAACCUGGGAACUGCAUUUCGAACUGGCAAACUAGAGUGUGAUAGAGGGUGGUAGAAUUUCAGGUGUAGCGGUGAAAUGCGUAGAGAUCUGAAGGAAUACCGAUGGCGAAGGCAGCCACCUGGGUCAACACUGACGCUCAUGUACGAAAGCGUGGGGAGCAAACGGGAUUAGAUACCCCGGUAGUCCACGCCGUAAACGACUGUCUACUAGAAGCUCGGAGCCUCGGUUCUGUUUUUCAAAGCUAACGCAUUAAGUAGACCGCCUGGGGAGUACGGCCGCAAGGUUAAAACUCACAAUGAAUUGACGGGGGCCCGCACAAGCGGUGGAGCAUGUGGUUUAAUUCGAUGCAACGCGAAGAACCUUACCUACACGUUGACAUACAGAGACUACCAU
rnacentral:rRNA from 1 species